rnacentral:rRNA from 1 species
AUGAGCUUUUGCCGCCUAGAGUCCAGGGGCAAUGGCUUCUUGGUCCUCACGAUGGCCAGCGCCGACGAGCACAACUACCUGACCGAGGAAGCCAUCACGGAACUCGUCGAGGUGCUCAAGAAAGUCGGGAACAACGCGGAGGCGAAAGGCCUGGUGACCACCUGCGAGGCCGGCACGUUCUGCGCCGGCCUGGACUACGACCACCACGCGGAGUCGGAGGAGCAGGCCGAGCACCUGGCGGGACGCGUCGCCGAGGUGAUCCGCCUGCUGCUCGAGCUUCCCGUGCCAACCGUGGCCGCCGUGCGCGGCAACGCGACGUCGCUGGGCCUCGCGCUGGCGCUCGCGCACGACCACUGCUUCGUAUGGGACCACGCUGUGCUCGGCCUCCCUGAGGCGCGGCGCGGGCGCCGGCUGCCAGACUACGUGGCCACGCUCCUGCGUGACAAGCUGUCCUUCGCGCGGCUGCGGAAGCUGCUGAUGCUCAGGUCGCAGACGUGCACCGGCAAGGAGCUCGCCGGAACGUGGUGGUCCACGCACGGCGCGGACGGCAACCGGCAGGUGGUGCUUGACAAAGCCGUCGACCUGCUGUACGAUGUCCAGGUCGGGGACGGGGCCAAUUUCGCCAAGACGAGGCAGAUGCUGUGCGGGGAGACCUGCGCCGCUGUGGGCAUCACCAUCACCAUGGAGAAGCACAAACCGCAGCCGACUCCUGCAGAGCUAGACAGUCAUAAAGCAGCGGGGCCAUCUCAGACAUCUGUUAUGACAGAAAAGACCCCUAAAUGGCACAAUCAUGACCCGUUCGUGGAUAUGUACAAGGAUGGAUCGUGA